UAAACUUCUGCUUGACAUGUAGUUGCAAAGUUCAGGUUUAAGCUUGGCUCUUCGUAUCUAUAAAAUUGAUAUUGGAGAUGAACUAUCUGCUUGCUUCUGAUUAGUUUAGAAUAUAUGUCUUCAGUCCCUACUUUCUGAAGAGUCAUGGUGGGGGAAACCCAGUGUUUUAGGUUAGUGCUAGUGAAUAGGCUGUUCUGGUAUGCGCACUGUUAAACCCUAAAGAUGUUUGGGGGUAGUCUCAAUUCUUGAAAGCUUUUCUUUAUUUCCAAUGAAAACACCUCUGUUUACAUGCCUGUUUCAAUAAUUAUUGUUGUGUAGUGUUUGCUGAGAGGAUGGGCAUGAUUACAAAUAAUAGAAUUAUUGCACUUCCAACAAAUUAGCUAACCAUCUCUGUGAUCUAUUGGGUUAACAGUUUACAGACAAACAGCUACUUUGUGACAUUUAGCCCUUGGCCUUCACUGCAGCAGGAUGGCUAUAGUCUGCCCCAGUGGGAACACAGAAAGGCUUAUAUAUCUCAAUGGAAAAGAGAAAAGACACUCAAAAUUAAAUGUUUCUGCAGUGGCCUCUACCUGACUUUGCAAUUCCUUGUACAUUUAAUAAUAAUGAUAAUAUAUUAUAUGAG